rnacentral:tRNA from 1 species
UCCCUGGUGGUCUAGUGGUUAAGACUCCAUGUUCCCAAUCUUGGGAGCCAGGGUUUGAUCCCUGGUCAGGGAA